rnacentral:rRNA from 1 species
UGAGGAAUAUUGGGCAAUGGGCGCAAGCCUGACCCAGCAACGCCGCGUGAAGGAUGAAGGCCUUCGGGUUGUAAACCUUUGUUAUAAAGGACGAAGAUAGUGACGGUACUUUAUAAGGAAGCCCCGGCUAACUAUGUGCCAGCAGCCGCGGUAAGACAUAGGGGGCAAGCGUUGUCCGGAAUCACUGGGCGUAAAGGGAGCGUAGUCGGUUAAUUAAGUCACGUGUGAAAGCCUUGGGCUUAACCCAAGAAUUGCACUUGAUACUGGUUAACUAGAGUGUUGGAGAGGUAAGUGGAAUUCCUAGUGUAGCGGUAAAAUGCGUAGAUAUUAGGAGGAACAUCAGAGGCGAAGGCGGCUUACUGGACAAUAACUGACGAUGAGGCUCGAAAGUGUGGGA